rnacentral:rRNA from 1 species
CCUACGGGAGGCAGCAGUGGGGAAUAUUGGGCAAUGGGCGCAAGCCUGACCCAGCAACGCCGCGUGAAGGAAGACGGCUCUAGGGUUUUAAACUUCUUUUCUCAGGGACGAAACAAGUUACAGUUCCUGCGUAAUAAGCCACAGCUAACUACGUGCCAGCAGCCGCCGUAAUACGUAGGUGGCCAGCGUUAUCCAGCUUUACUGGGUUUAAAGGGUGUGUAGGCGGGAAUGGAAGUCAGGUGUGAAAACCACGGGGUCAACCUGGGGCCUGCAUUUGAAACUGUCGUUCUUGAGUACUCGAGAGGCAGGCGGAAUGCGUGGUGUAGCGGUGAAAUGCGUAGAUAUCACGAGGAACCCCGAUGGCGAAGGCAGUCUACUGGAGCGCAACUGACGCUGAGGCGCGAAAGCGUGGGGAGCGAACAGGAUUAGAUACCCGUGUAGUC